rnacentral:rRNA from 1 species
UACGGGGGGAGCAAGCGUUGUUCGGAAUUACUGGGCGUAAAGGGCGCGUAGGCGGCUGGGUAAGUAGGUGGUGAAAUCCCCGGGCUUAACUUGGGGUCUGCCAUCUAAACUGCCUGGCUGGAGUGCAGGAGGGGGCAGUGGAAUUCCUGGUGUAGCGGUGAAAUGCGUAGAGAUCAGGAGGAACACCCGUGGCGAAGGCGGCUGCCUGGACUGCAACUGACGCUGAGGCGCGAAAGCUAGGGGAGCAAACAGG